UACGGAGGGGGCUAGCGUUGCUCGGAAUCACUGGGCGUAAAGCGCACGUAGGCGGUUUUCUAAGUCAGGGGUGAAAUCCUGGAGCUCAACUCCAGAACUGCCUUUGAUACUGGAGAGCUUGAGUCCGGAAGAGGUGAGUGGAACUCCGAGUGUAGAGGUGAAAUUCGUAGAUAUUCGGAAGAACACCAGUGGCGAGGGCGACUAACUGGACAUGUAUUGACGCUGAGGUGCGAAAGCGUGGGGAGCAAACAGG
rnacentral:rRNA from 1 species